UGGGGAAUUUUGGGCAAUGGCCGCAAGGCUGACCCAGCAACGCCGCGUGAGCGAUGAAGUCCUUCGGGAUGUAAAGCUCGGAAGCCAGGGAAGAAAAGGCCGGGGCCAAUACCCCCGGCCGCUGACGGUACCUGGUCUAAGCCCCGGCUAACUACGUGCCAGCAGCCGCGGUAAUACGUAGGGGGCAAGCGUUGUUCGGAAUUACUGGGCGUAAAGCGCGCGUAGGCGGCGCGGUCAGUCGGGUGUGAAAGCCCCGGGCUCAACCCGGGAACGGCACUCGAUACUGCCGGGCUGGAGUACGGAAGAGGCGGUCGGAAUUCCCAGUGUAGCGGUGAAAUGCGUAGAUAUUGGGAGGAACACCGGGUGCGAAGGCGGGCCGCUGGGCCGAUACUGACGCUGAGGCGCGAAAGCCAGGGGAGCGAACGGG
rnacentral:rRNA from 1 species